AACGCACGAGACCUGCGGACCUGCGGAGGGAUCAUUACCGAGUUCUCGCCCCUCGCGGGGUAGACCUCCCACCCACUGUGAUCACUACCGUCGUUGCUUUGGCGGGCCGCUGGGCCCAGCCCACCGCCGGCUCCAGCUGGCGCGUGCCCGCCAGAGGCCCUACAAACGCUGGAUAUCAGUGCCGUCUGAGUACACAUGUUAAUCGUUAAAACUUUUAACAACGGAUCUCUAGAUCGGAAG
rnacentral:misc_RNA from 1 species